rnacentral:lncRNA from 1 species
AUUAUAUGCCGCUCUCCAUACAAAGUGCUUUAUGUGGAUUCCAUCUACUCACCUUCCCGUGGACAGAUAAGAGAGAGAGAGAGAGAGUGAGCACACAAGCAGGGGGAGCAGGAGAAGGAGGAGCAGGAUCGUUGCUGAGCACAGACCCCAAUAGGGAGCUCAAGACCAAGACCCUGGGAUCCUGUCCUCAACUGAAAGCCGACACCCAACAGAAUGACUACCCAGGUACCCCGAGACUGUUUUUCUUUUCCUAAACUCUAUAAAGCUGGAGACUAGAAC